UUAUUUUCAAUUAUUCAUAAAAUAGACCUAUUGCAUGUGACGUCACAAUCCUGGUGACGUUACAUCUGGAGGACAAGCAAACGCCACAUGUAAAUAACAA